rnacentral:lncRNA from 1 species
CCUGACUGGUGAAACUACUGAGAGUCUGACCUCAUUAACACUGGUAGUGUGAUUACACAUCCGGGACAUUUAGGUGGUGCGUGCUUCAACCAGCCAAAACUCUUCUCGCUGACGCCAUUUUAUUUGAAUCGCCACUCGGAGCGACUAAGCGUAUGUGUUUUAACUGCAUACAUUAUUAUACAUUUAUAAUUGGAGAAGUGCAUAAAUUUGUGUAGCGUUGAGGGCACGCUGCGCGCGCUGGAACUUUUCUCACAGACCAUUUGUUUCGACUGACCCUGCAGACGAGGCCAGUGCUCAUUUACUGGAAAUAUAGACGUUCGGGCUGCAGAGCAGAUAAGACGGCCUACGUUACAAAUAAACUGGAAAAAACGCAGAAGGUUAACGUCAUGUUUGUGAAAGUGCCAUUCAAAGACUCCAAGAACUUCAUAAAGUUGCAGAAUGGAUUCACUUUUACAGAUUUCAUAAAUGAAGAUAGUGCUAGCUGCCUUGAAAGAAAAAUCAAAAGUAGAUGAAGUCCUUGAAGAGUACAUGGCCACCGAUACUUUGUUAAAUUAAAUGAGAAGAGCACUUGUUAACAUACUGGUGGGGCACAUGACAGAGAGGCAUGGGUGAGCUACAUUUUCACAUUUAAGAUAAUUGAUUGUCAUAUUUUUUUUAAAUGUUUUUUAUUCACCUAAUAAUUAAGGCUGAGACAUAAAUGUAUAAUCUAAAUGUAAGACUGUUUUUUGUAUGCAUGUUCUGUCACUUACGUGCUGUCCCAUCCCAUAUACAGUGGGUACGGAAAGUAUUCAGACCCCCUUAAAUUUUUCACUCUUUUUUUUAUAUUGCAGCCAUUUGCUAAAAUCAUUUAAGUUAUUUUUUUUCCCUCAUUAAUGUAUACACAGCACCCCAUAUUGACAGAAAAACACAGAAUUGUUGACAUUGAAGAGUACAUGGCCACCGAUACUUUGUCAAAUUAAAUGAGAAGAGCACUUGUUAAAAUACUGGUGGGGCACAUGACAGAGAGGCAUGGGUAAGC